AGCAAUCUGAUGUCGAUAGGGAACAUGUAAAACUUUAGCUUACCCACGAGCUACCUUUUCCCGAACAAAGUGAAUGUCGUGGGCAAGUUAAAGUUUUACAUGUUCCCUCUCGACAUCAGAUUGCU
rnacentral:pre_miRNA from 1 species